rnacentral:rRNA from 1 species
CAAUAGCGUAUAUUAACGUUGUUGCAGUUAAAAAGCUCGUAGUUGGAUUUCUGGAGGGAGCGUCGGCCCGUAUUUACGAGUGCGAGACGUCUCUGUCCAUCCUUGCGGGAAGGCACGGCAUUGAUUUGUUGUGUCGGAUCGCAUCAUUUACUGUGAAAAAAUUAGAGUGUUCAAAGCAGGCUUUCGCUUGAAUACAUUAGCAUGGAAUAAUAAGAUAGGACUUUGGUGCUAUUUUGUUGGUUGAGCCUAAAGUAAUGAUUAAUAGGGAUAGUUGGGGGCACCUGUAUUGCGUUGUCAGAGGUGAAAUUCUUGGAUUUACGCAAGACAAACAGCUGCGAAAGCGUCUGCCAAGGAUGUUUUCAUUAA